AGUGAACGCUGGCGGUAGGCCUAACACAUGCAAGUCGAACGGCAGCACAGUAAGAGCUUGCUCUUACGGGUGGCGAGUGGCGGACGGGUGAGGAAUACAUCGGAAUCUACUUUUUCGUGGGGGAUAACGUAGGGAAACUUACGCUAAUACCGCAUACGACCUACGGGUGAAAGCAGUGGAUCUUCGGACCUUGCGCGAUUGAAUGAGCCGAUGUCGGAUUAGCUAGUUGGCGGGGUAAAGGCCCACCAAGGCGACGAUCCGUAGCUGGUCUGAGAGGAUGAUCAGCCACACUGGAACUGAGACACGGUCCAGACUCCUACGGGAGGCAGCAGUGGGGAAUAUUGGACAAUGGGCGAAAGCCUGACCCAGCAAUACCGCGUGAGUGAAGAAGGUCUUCGGGUUGUAAAGCCCUUUUGUUGGGAAAGAAAAGCAGCAGGUUAAUCCCCCGCUGUUCUGACGGUACCCAAAGAAUAAGCACCGGCUAACUUCGUG
rnacentral:rRNA from 1 species